rnacentral:lncRNA from 1 species
UUGACAGGUAACGGAUAUCUUUCAGAGUCUAGUCUCUGUCUGUCAGUGUCUGUUCAGUUCUUUGCUGUUGUUUUGGAUUGUGGUUUGUUACUGCAUCUGAGCAAUUUAAGCAAAUUAUCUGGUCAUUUUUACGUUGAGUCGAGGAACUGCUCCUCCGUACUCUAUCUGUUGAUAGUACUUUCGCGAAAGGACGCUUUAUUACUUGUGUUGUGUAUAACACCUGCUGACCAUGUUUGCCGCACGGAACAAAUAUUUGAAUGAUCUGCAAGUAGUUGUUCUUGGUCUGGGCACAUGAGUUUCUAUGUUGAUGAAAUAAUACUAAGAAUAGAUUAAAUAAUUAUAAGAACAAUAAAAUAGAUGUAUAUUCCUACAAAAA